GCUUGUAAAUAUUAUAAGUACCGGGGUCGUACAUCGAAUUAACCAUAAAAUUCAAACCCUGAGGCCUGAGUUGUCGGAAACAACGAUUAUUCGUAGUUUUACCUAUAUACUCUAGUAACUAUAGUCAAAUACACAUUAGCAUUAUUAUGGCAUGGUCAUAUUCAUCUUCCUCCUCUUCAUUCAACAAUGCUCCUCUAGAAAAGCACGAAGUGUUUAUUAGUUUUAGAGGUGAGGAUACUCGCAACAAUUUCACAAGCCAUCUUAAUGGUGCUUUGAAAAGAUUAGAUAUAAGAACCUAUAUAGACAAUGAUCUUAAUAGUGGUGAUGAAAUACCAACCACCCUUGUUAGGGCCAUCGAAGAAGCCAAGCUCUCCGUUAUUGUUUUCUCUAAAAACUAUGCGGUGUCAAAAUGGUGUUUGGAAGAGCUUAUGAAAAUACUCGAAAUUAAAAAGAUGAAAGGGCAAAUUGUAGUGCCUGUUUUCUAUGACGUUGAUCCUUCUGAUGUUAGGAACCAGAGAGGAAGCUAUGCUGAGGCUUUUGCUAAGCAUGAGAACAACUUUGAGGGGAAGAUAAAGGUGCAAGAAUGGAGGAAUGGUUUGUUGGAAGCUGCAAAUUAUGCUGGUUGGGAUUGUAAUGUCAAUAGAACAGAAUUGGCAUUGGUUGAGGAAAUUGCUGUGGAUGUACUAAACAAGAUCAAUGGAGUAUAUGUUGGAGACCUAGAUCAACAGAUUGGUAAGUAUGAGGAACUUGCGAAGCUCCAAUUUCAGUUCCAUGAAAGCACAACUAGACUUGUAGAUUUGAACAACUAUAAUGCAACUGUUAAACGUAUCACAGAACUUAAAAUGGAGAGAAGUCUUCGUUUGCUUCGCUUGUCACCAGAUAUGCUUUCACAUUUAGAGAACUCAUCAAACAAUAAUAAUUUAGUUCCGCUAACCGAAAAGAAGAAAAAGAAAAAAAAGUUGUUUCUAUUUUAAGCUAAUUAAUGUACUAGUUUUCUGAGGAAUUGUUAUUAAUUUUGCAAGGUUUUAA